ACCCGGCGGCNCCCUAAGGCAUGCCAGUCGAACGCGAACAGAACAACUAAUUCNUUAGAAGUUCUUAGUACAGUGGCGAACGGGUGAGUAACACGUGGAUAACAUACCUUUCAGUGGGGAAUAACAUCGGGAAACUGAUGCUAAUACCGCAGAUGUCAUUUCAUUGAUUUUGAUUUGACUAAAGGGGGGGCUCCUUANGGACCUCUCGCUGACUGAUUGGUCCGCGGCCCAUUAGCUUGUUGGUGGGGUAAUGGCCUACCAAGGCUGCGAUGGGUAGCCGGCCUGAGAGGGUGUCCGGCCACACUGGGAUUGAGAUACGGCCCAGACUCCUUCGGGAGGCAGCAGUCGAGAAUCUUCCACAAUGUACGAAAGUAUGAUGGAGCGACGCCGCGUGUGUGAUGAAGGCUUUAUGAGUUGUAAAGCCUGUCAGAGGGGAAAACAAGCCGUAUAAAUAAUAAGUAUACGCUUGACGUACCCUCANANGAAGCUCCGGUAACUCCGUGCCACAGCCGCGGUAUACCGAGGGNCCAGCUUUGNCCGGAAUAUUGGGCUAAAGGGNCCUAGCGGUCGGAANCAAUCCAAUNUAUGGUUACUGGAACUGNUUCAACUCCACUUNNUCUGAAAGU
rnacentral:rRNA from 1 species